rnacentral:rRNA from 1 species
GAUGAACGCUGGCGGCGUGCCUAAUACAUGCAAGUCGAGCGAACAGACGAGGAGCUUGCUCCUCUGACGUUAGCGGCGGACGGGUGAGUAACACGUGGAUAACCUACCUAUAAGACUGGGAUAACUUCGGGAAACCGGAGCUAAUACCGGAUAAUAUAUUGAACCGCAUGGUUCAAUAGUGAAAGACGGUUUUGCUGGCACUUAUAGAUGGAUCCGCGCCGCAUUAGCUAGUUGGUAAGGUAACGGCUUACCAAGGCAACGAUGCGUAGCCGACCUGAGAGGGUGAUCGGCCACACUGGAACUGAGACACGGUCCAGACUCCUAAGGGAGGCAGCAGUAGGGAAUCUUCCGCAAUGGGCGAAAGCCUGACGGAGCAACGCCGCGUGAGUGAUGAAGGUCUUCGGAUCGUAAAACUCUGUUAUUAGGGAAGAACAAAUGUGUAAGUAACUAUGCACGUCUUGACGGUACCUAAUCAGAAAGCCACGGCUAACUACGUG